rnacentral:rRNA from 1 species
AUUGAACGCUGGCGGCAGGCCUAACACAUGCAAGUCGAACGAGUGGCGGACGGGUGAGUAAUGUCUGGGAAACUGCCUGAUGGAGGGGGAUAACUACUGGAAACGGUAGCUAAUACCGCAUAACAUAGAAUGUGCCCAGAUGGGAUUAGAGAGUAGGUGGGGUAAAGGCUCACCUAGGCGACGAUCCCUAGCUGGUCUGAGAGGAUGACCAGCCACACUGGAACUGAGACACGGUCCAGACUCCUACGGGAGGCAGCAGUGGGGAAUAUUGCCCAAUGGGCGAAAGCCUGAUGCAGCCAUGCCGCGUGUAUGAAGAAGGCCUUCGGGUUGUAAAGUACUUUCAGCGGGGAGGCGUUACCCGCAGAAGAAGCACCGGCUAACUCCGUGCCAGCAGCCGCGGUAAUUC